GACGAACGCUGGCGGCGUGCCUAAUACAUGCAAGUCGAACGAACUCUGGUAUCGAUUGGUGCUUGCAUCAUGAUUUACAUUUGAGUGAGUGGCGAACUGGUGAGUAACACGUGGGAAACCUGCCCAGAAGCGGGGGAUAACACCUGGAAACAGAUGCUAAUACCGCAUAACAACUUGGACCGCAUGGUCCGAGUUUGAAAGAUGGCUUCGGCUAUCACUUUUGGAUGGUCCCGCGGCGUAUUAGCUAGAUGGUGGGGUAACGGCUCACCAUGGCAAUGAUACGUAGCCGACCUGAGAGGGUAAUCGGCCACAUUGGGACUGAGACACGGCCCAAACUCCUACGGGAGGCAGCAGUAGGGAAUCUUCCACAAUGGACGAAAGUCUGAUGGAGCAACGCCGCGUGAGUGAAGAAGGGUUUCGGCUCGUAAAACUCUGUUGUUAAAGAAGAACAUAUCUGAGAGUAACUGUUCAGGUAUUGACGGUAUUUAACCAGAAAGCCACGGCUAACUACGUGCCAGCAGCCGCGGUAAUACGUAGGUGGCAAGCGUUGUCCGGAUUUAUUGGGCGUAAAGCGAGCGCAGGCGGUUUUUUAAGUCUGAUGUGAAAGCCUUCGGCUCAACCGAAGAAGUGCAUCGGAAACUGGGAAACUUGAGUGCAGAAGAGGACAGUGGAACUCCAUGUGUAGCGGUGAAAUGCGUAGAUAUAUGGAAGAACACCAGUGGCGAAGGCGGCUGUCUGGUCUGUAACUGACGCUGAGGCUCGAAAGUAUGGGUAGCAAACAGGAUUAGAUACCCUGGUAGUCCAUACCGUAAACGAUGAAUGCUAAGUGUUGGAGGGUUUCCGCCCUUCAGUGCUGCAGCUAACGCAUUAAGCAUUCCGCCUGGGGAGUACGGCCGCAAGGCUGAAACUCAAAGGAAUUGACGGGGGCCCGCACAAGCGGUGGAGCAUGUGGUUUAAUUCGAAGCUACGCGAAGAACCUUACCAGGUCUUGACAUACUAUGCAAAUCUAAGAGAUUAGACGUUCCCUUCGGGGACAUGGAUACAGGUGGUGCAUGGUUGUCAUCAGCUCGUGUCGUGAGAUGUUGGGUUAAGUCCCGCAACGAGCGCAACCCUUAUUAUCAGUUGCCAGCAUUAAGUUGGGCACUCUGGUGAGACUGCCGGUGACAAACCGGAGGAAGGUGGGGAUGACGUCAAAUCAUCAUGCCCCUUAUGACCUGGGCUACACACGUGCUACAAUGGAUGGUACAACGAGUUGCGAACUCGCGAGAGUAAGCUAAUCUCUUAAAGCCAUUCUCAGUUCGGAUUGUAGGCUGCAACUCGCCUACAUGAAGUCGGAAUCGCUAGUAAUCGCGGAUCAGCAUGCCGCGGUGAAUACGUUCCCGGGCCUUGUACACACCGCCCGUCACACCAUGAGAGUUUGUAACACCCAAAGUCGGUGGGGUAACCUUUUAGGAAUCAGCCGCCUAAGGUGGGACAGAUGAUUAGGGUGAAGUCGUAACAAGGUAGCCGUAGAAUCGUCGACCUGCAG
rnacentral:rRNA from 1 species